UACAGAGGUCCCAAGCGUUGUUCGGAUUCAUUGGGCGUAAAGGGUGCGUAGGCGGCGCGGUAAGUCGGGUGUGAAAUCUCGGGGCUUAACUCCGAAACUGCAUUCGAUACUGCCGUGCUUGAGGACUGGAGAGGAGACUGGAAUUUACGGUGUAGCGGUGAAAUGCGUAGAUAUCGUAAGGAAGACCAGUGGCGAAGGCGACUACCUGGCCUGUUAUUGACGCUGAGGCGCGAAAGCUAGGGGAGCAAACAGG
rnacentral:rRNA from 1 species